rnacentral:misc_RNA from 1 species
AAUUAAAAAUGGCGUAUGAAUUAUCAAGAACCAGCUUUAAAUUACAGAACAAACAAUAAUUAUACUACAAUCACAUUGUUCAUCCUUCAUCAAUCCAUACAUGAAAAUAGCAUUACAAAUCCUCAUUAAAAACCCAAGAACCAAUUAUGUUCUUGAACAAAUCCACUCACAAACACUUACCAACCCCACUAAUAACCAAGACUGACACAUGCAAUCAACAGAGUAUAAAAAGUGCAGACUCAUCUCCUGCAACGAGUAAUCCUGGAACAUCCUCUAGUGUAGGGGUUAA